AGCCCCUCAUUGCCCGGGGCCGGCAGGGCCGGCCGCCUGCUCAGAGUGCGGGGCCUGCCAAGCCCACGCCCACCCGGAACUCCAGCUGGCGCGCAAGCUCCGCGCGCAGCCCUGGUUCCCGCUCGCGCCUCUCCCUCCACACCUCCCUGCAAGCUGAGGGAGUUGGCUCCGGCCUUGGCCAGCCCAGAAAGGGGCUCCCACAGUGCAGCGGUGGGCCGAAGGGCUCCUCAAGUGACGCCAAAGUGGGAGACCAAGCAGAGGAGGUGCCAAGAGCAAGCGAGGGGCUGUGAGGACUGCCAGCACGCUGUCACCUCUCACCGGGGCCGAGGAACAGGAGCACCGCAGACCUUCUGGACAGUCAGACUGGCUUUGGAAAUGAUUAAAAGUUGAUCUGGGCCUGGGCAGAAGGGCAUGGCUGUUAGCCAAAGCUGAACUGCAUUCAUCUUCAAAGACUUAAGAGAAGCAGCCCCUUCUACCCUCAGCCACCAGGACCAUUCUGUCACAUUCUGUGGGAGGCUCCUGCUAAUGGAAUGAGGCCACUCACAGAGCUUGGUCAAUUAGCUCUUGCUGAAAACUGCUAACGUGGAACUUUGGUAAGUAUGGCAUGCAGGGAGUGGUGUAUCAUCCCAUCAUCCCAGCACUUUGGGAGUUCAAGGCGGGAGGAUUGCUUAAGCCCAGGAGCUUGAGACUCUUCCCAUCGCCCGCAGAAGGUGCCAGGUGCUGCCUUUGUUGUUAAUGCUCCUCCCACCACCCCAUGGAGACUUGAUGGGCCCCAGAUGUGCUGGGUCAGGAUGUUACCACACAGCAGGUGGAUCCUGUCUCUCCAUGAGUGUAUUCGUCCAUUCUGCAGUGCUAUGAAGAAACACCUGAAACUGGGUAAUUUAUAAGAAAAGAGGUUUAAUUGGCUAACAGUUCCACAGGCUGUACAGGAAGCAUGGCUAGGGAGGCCUCAGGAAACUUUCAAUCAUGGCAGAAGGCAAAGGGGAAGCUGGCACGUCUUCCAUGGCCAGAGAGUGAGGAAGAGAGAGAGGAGGGGGAGGGGCUGCACACAUUUAAAUGACCAGAUCUUGUGAGAUCUCACUCGCUAUCACGAGAACAGCAAGGGGAAAGUCCUACCCCAUGAUCCAGUCACCUCCCACCAGGGAGCUCCUCCAAUGCUGAGGAUUACAAUUCAACAUGAGAUUUGGGUGGGGACACAAAUCUAAACUAUAUUGUCACUGGUGGAGGGUUGUGACUGCAGGUUGUCCAGGUUCUUGGCCUAUUGAACAAAGAAUUGGACAAAAUGCCCAGCAAGGCAAAGAAAGAAUGAAGCAACAAAAGAAUGAAAAUGGGGAUUUAUCGAAAACGAAAGUACACUCCAUGGUUUGGGAGUGGACCGAGCAGCAGCUCAAGGGCCCAGAUACGGAAUCUUCUUGGGUCCAAAUAUCCUCUAGAAGUUUCCCAUUGGCCACAUCAUGCUCACCUCAUGUAAAUGAAGUGGUGGCCUGCAAUCAGUCUGAUUGGUUACAGAAAGCAGCCAACCAGAGGCUGAAGUGAAGUUACAAAGGUUACACUCCUGUUCAACCAAUCAGAGACUAGGGUGAAGUUACAAAGUUAUACUUCUAUUGAAACGAAGAUGUGGCCAGCAAUCAGUCUGAUUGGUUGUGGACAGCAGCCAUUCAGAGGCUGGAGUGAAGUUACAAAGUGGCAAACAAAGACUGGACCUUCAAUCAAUCUGAUUGGUUGUGGACAGCCAAUUUCCCAUCUGCCUAGCAGAAAAGGUGAGGGGGUUGCAAAGGGAGUAGCCUGUGGUCCUUUUGUUACUUAGGCAUGGAAAGGUAGGGUUCUGCCUUCAAUUUAGUUCUAGGAAGUCGGUGUGAAACAGGCUUAGGUUCCCUGUGUCCAGACCCUAUUCUCCUGCCUCAAUAUUGGUAUCACCCAAUGAUCACCCAGUGACCAUAACCAAGGAGGAUUUAGCAAUGGGAUUUUGUUACUUGUAACAGGGAACCAGCAGGGACAGUUCCCAAGGCAGUGUGUCUCUGAGCUGGGCACUGGGUCAAAUUUUAGAAGCAUAGGCUAACGAGGUGUGAUGUUACUGGAAACUGCCAUGGGGGUGACACCAGAGCUCCAACUGCUUUUUUUUUUUUUAAUUUAUUAUUAUUAUACUUUAAGUUUUAGGGUACAUGUGCACAAUGUGCAGGUUAGUUACAUAUGUAUACAUGUGCCAUGCUGGUGCGCUGCACCCACUAACUCGUCAUCUAGCAUUAGGUAUAUCUCCCAGUGCUAUCCCUCUCCCCUCCCCCCACCCCACAACAGUCCCCAGAGUGUGAUGUUCCCCUUCCUGUGUCCAUGUGUUCUCAUUAUUCAAUUCCCACCUAUGAGUGAGAAUAUGCGGUGUUUGGUUUUUUGUUCUUGCAAUAGUUUACUGAGAAUGAUGAUUUC
rnacentral:lncRNA from 10 species